rnacentral:rRNA from 1 species
UACGUAGGGGGCAAGCGUUAUCCGGAUUUACUGGGUGUAAAGGGAGCGUAGACGGCGCGGCAAGUCUGAAGUGAAAGGCAGGGGCUUAACCCCUGAACUGCUUUGGAAACUGCCAUGCUAGAGUGUGCGAGAGGUAUGCGGAAUGCGUGGUGUAGCGGUGAAAUGCAUAGAUAUCACGCAGAACCCCGAUUGCGAAGGCAGCAUACCGGCGCACAACUGACGCUCAGGCACGAAAGCGUGGGUAUCGAACAGG